rnacentral:misc_RNA from 1 species
GAUGAGAACGCAGUGAAAUGCGAUAAGUAGUGUGAAUUGCAGAAUUCAGUGAAUCAUCGAAUCUUUGAACGCACAUUGCGCCCCUCGGUAUUCCGUGGGGCAUGCCUGUUCGAGCGUCAUUUAACCCCUCAAGCCUAGCUUGGUAUUGGGUGCUUGUCCCGCCUCUCGCGCGGCGACUCACCUCAAAGUCAUUGGCAGCCCGCAUCUCGCCGGCCGUGAGCGCAGCACAGACGCGCUCUUGGCAACGACGGAUCGGCUCUCCAAAAGCUUAUUUCAACCACUGACCUCGGAUCAGGUAGGGAUACCCGCUGAACUUAAGCAUAUCAAUAAGCGGAGGA